GGAGGAUAUGGAAGCACAACUCUGCACUCCUAUACUGGCAUCCCUCACCUCCUGUGCAACAGAGGCAGAUGCUUACCCCGUUUCACCAUAGCAAGAUUCAGUGAAAUGAUGAUAUACUCAGCAGUGGUAUACUUAGGAAUCUUGGAGAGGACAACAAAAACUCCACCCCAAACCAAUGCGUGAUUCUCUCCUGUGUAUUUCAGAUAUGAGGAUUACAUUGGAUCACACAGCCCUUUCUCUCACAGCUACAUAGAACCAUGGAGUGCAGGAGUCCCAGCAUUUAAGAGACAGAGAAGCAAAAAGCAGCCCUUGCUGACUUCCUGCUCUGGCCUGUUUCUAUCUGGUCCUCUGCCAUCUCCU